rnacentral:rRNA from 1 species
AUGGCAACAACAACUCAGAAAACAACUGAUGGAUACGGGAUUGGGUGCAGCACAGAGGGAAUUGGGGGUGAUAAAGUGUUCACAAAUUUUGCAGGUAUUAUUAUCAACAAGGUCGAGCAGUACUCCAACAAGUGCAAGACAGCUGUAAAUGAGGCAUCAAGGAAGGGAGCAAGAUUAAACAAGAGACACGCAGAAGGAUGGGAUGAGAUUGUCAAUGAUACUAACGGGUUAAUACUCUCAGAAACUAAGAAGAUAAUUGCAGACAUCAACCAGAUAACUGAUGCAAUGAGGGCACGAAAGCAGAGGCCCAAUUAUUCAACCCAAGCAGAUGUUCAAGGGGUUCAAGGGGAUGCAGAGAAUGCACUAAGCAUAGAGUCGGCAGAGGGAGCUUCCGCUAACGUGGAACCAUUGGCAAAGAGCAAAUUAGGUGUGAAAAGAAAGAAGGUUGUUACAUCAAGGAGGCACACACCGAAGAGGGCAAGGAUAGAGAGCUCUGAAGAAUCUGAAGGUGCUCAAGAAGAAGCAAACAAAGCAAUAGAUGAUCUGAUUGAAGCAGCAGAUGAAUACAGUAGGUUGCGCAGUGGGAUUGUUGGCAAUGCGACAGGGCUGUUGGACAAUACUACAGGGAACAACUUGGAGAUGUCAGUGGUGUGUGGGGCGGCAAGAAAUGAAGUUAUAUGCUCUCCAAAAAUAGCAACAGGAACUGAUGAAGCUGCAGAGAACCAAAAGGAUGGUGUUGACAAGAAUCAAUUGUCAAUAGUUUCUUCAGGACAGGAUGAUGACUUAGGUGGAUGUUUAUCAAUAGAUCCUCCAGAGAUGCAUGGGAAGUUCAAAGUUGUAAUGUCAGGUCUUAGGAAGACGGCCUUGAUGAAUGCUUUUACAGCCGUUUCAACGUCCAACGGCGUGUCGGUUGCUUCCGCAAACAUCACGCCUGGUUCUGCAGCAACCAAGAUGCAAACUCCUGAAGAUUGA